rnacentral:lncRNA from 1 species
CUAGAUCAGGCCGUCAUUCCUGGCCCAAGUAUUGAGGCCACAGACCCCAAAUCUGUGGUAAGCUAUCAUGGGGCUAGUCACUCCUCUUCAACUGAGCCCCUUACCCAAUUGGAGGAUGCCAACCCAUCUAAUUCCCCAAACCUUCUCACCUACGCUUCCCCUAUCAAUUCCUCUAAGAUAACCUCUAAUGGGGAAAUCUCAACAGUCACCACAAACAAUCAAGUGCCCUAUCUAGAACCUCUCCCAUUUUCAGGUGAAAAGACAACUACAAUCAAC